AACUUGUGGGUAGACAUACAAAUAAUACAUUUUCUUGAUAAGAAGUUUGUCGAAAGAAUGUGAGGGGAGAGCAACAAAUGAUGAAUGAUGAUGGGAUGAAAACGUGAUUAUGUUGACAGAAUGCUAACCAACUGCAGAAAAAGAAUUGUUGUUGGUCCAUUCAGUGUUAGAAUCGGUGAGGUGCUCGCCGCUCACUCACGGCGUCGUUUAGUUGAUUCUGUGUGUCCGCUAAGUUCUUCUCUUCCUUUCCUUGCCUUUCCUGCAAGCUACGUUUCGCCCGCGGUGGAGGUUUGGUUGCUGCUGUUGCUGCGGUGGAGGUCUUGAUUCUUGAAUUGGAAUGCUCCCUGACUCCUCUGUCGACUCAAAAACUGAUUGAUUCCCCAAAAAAAAAACAACAAACAACAAAAUCUCAGCUUUUCUUAGCUCCAACAUCACACGCACUGCCUCUCUCUCUCUUCCCCCCCAGCAGCCUAAACAUUUCUGGGAUUUCAGACACAUUAAUAAUAGAAACUCCAUCCUCUAUAUAUAUAUAUAUAUAUGUAUGUAUAUUCCCCACCCAAAUUGUUCCCACAAAUCUCCAUAGAAACUUUUAUUUGUUCAUUUCAUGCGGCUUUCUGAUUCAUCCUCGGGAUCUGCCAAACUCGAUAUAAAUUCAUAACCUCAUCCUCUGCCAUUUCUGAUUUGUAAUCUCUUCUUCCCUGCUCAAGCCUACACCCCCACACACUUGUAUCUCUCUCUCUCUCUCUCUCUCUAACUAUGUGUAUUAUAUACUGAAAAGAAGAAGAAGAAGAAGUAAUACUAGUUAGUUGUACAUCUACUAAUCAUUUUAAAACCAUAAAAGAAAAAAAAAAUUAUGGUGAGCGACACCAGCACCAACAUCUUCAAGCGAUUCAGAAUCGGAUUGCUUCCUUGGUUCCGUAAAAAGCUACUCGAUCCUCUCCUCCACAUUCUCCGCAUGGGAGCAGAGCCUAAGCAAUUGGCCUUCUCCGCCGCACUAGGCAUUACCCUUGGUGUCUUUCCCAUCUGCGGAGUCACUUUUUUCCUUUGUGGAUUGGCUAUCGCAUUACUCAGAUCCUCAUGUCAUGCGCCAACUGUAAUGCUGGCUAAUUUUGUUGCUACUCCAAUCGAGCUGAGUCUGAUAAUUUUUUUCUUGCGCUUUGGUGAAUUCAUCACUGGAGGACCUCACUUUCCUCUAACUUCUGAUGCAUUGAAGAAGGUCUUGACUGGUCAAGCUUCAAGAGAAAUCUUGCGGGGCAUCUUCAAUGCGCUGUUAGGCUGGCUUGUGGCCGCGCCCUUCAUCUUGGGGACCCUCUAUGUAUUGUUCUUGCCAUGCUUUGCCUUCUUGGUGCGCAAAUUCAGCGGUGUUCCUACCAGCCCGAAGCUACCUCUCCAUUCCAAUACAGAAGCCAGGCUUAAGGUAAGGGAUGUAUGACGGUAUCAAGGCAGAAGAUAAAGUUGCUGACUGCAAGUCGCGGUGCAUCGGCAACUCCAGUCGCGGUAAAUUGGAGACUCCAUGCAAGCCAAAACAGGCAUGUAGAUGCAGUUGGCACUUGUACCAUCUAUCCAUCCAUCCAUCCAUCCGUCAUAACCCCCUCCUCCCCUUACUCGGUUGUCUGGUGUGCAACAAAGUCAAACAAGAAAAAGGCCGGCGUAAUUCGUUUUGUACUUUUUGCGGACACACAGUACAGACUAGAGGGAGGAGUUGGCUGCUAAGAAAUAGUACGGUGUCGUAACACAGCAGAGAACCGUUGGUACCCAGAUCUGUUUCUAUCAUCAGCUCCACCGCUCACCCCUCCUCCCAUCUUCGCUUUACCUGCAAACUAAACACACACACACACACACUCUCUCUCUAAUAUAGCACAGAAAGCAUUUGGUCCCCCGGGAAGGGGCAUAGGGGCACAGUGGGUGUAACCGACUCACUAAAUUCAGCAUUCUACUAUUGACAAUAUGUGAACGAGAGGUUGGAUUUCCAAACCAAGAACCAGGGAAAUUGGUUGCUGAUACAGCUCAUAGUAGUAAUUAUUAUGUCUCACAGUGGACGAGGUGGCGGCAUAGGUGGAGGUGGUAAGACUAGUAUUAGUAGAUAUUCAGACCCACAAGAAACAGCUACAUCUGCUGCUGCUGCUGCUGUCGUCGGAGGUGGUGGAAAUGCUUCUUCUUCUUCUUCGGCUGAGUUGAGACUCUAUCAAGCUUUCAUUUUUUCUGUCCCAAUCUUCUUCACUUUCGUCCUCCUUUCCUUGUUCUACUUGUUCUGUCUCCGCCGUCGCAGGCUUGAUUGGCCCUCUCUCACAAUGCCCGCCUCUUCUUCUUCUUCUUUCCGCUCCUCCUCCUCCAGGGCUGAAACUGGGGGACUAAAGAAGGAGGUCAGGGAGAUGCUGCCCGUGAUUGUAUUCAAGGAAAGUUUUUCCGUCAAAGACAUGCAGUAAGUGCUCCAUGGACUUAUAUAAUUUUUUUUUAUUCCUCCGUCAACCAAAUUGCCAAUUAUCAAUUACUAGCACAAACACAAAGUACAAGAUGCCGUUCAAUUUCUGGCCGUUAGUCAUUGAGACCACUCUAUGUAUAGCUUGUCUUCCACUCUAUAAAAAAAAAAAAAAAAAA